AUCAGUAAGACAACGUCAAAGCAACACUCGUCCUGAAAAUUUUCCCUUGUGAAUUCAAAUGAACUGGGAAACUAGAACAACUGAUCAGCUUUGGUUUCUCAAAGUCUUUUCCAAAGGAUCUGCAGAGACCCCUUUCUGCUGUACCAACACAAUGGCUGAGAGAUCUAAUCUGUCCAAGGAUCAAGGCCAGCUUCAUACCUUCCUCUGUGCUCUGGAAACAGCCCACUUUCUACCAAAAGCGUGCCCUGUGUACCUAUAGAAGCAGUCACAUGCACAGCAAACUGCCCUCUGAUUUCUUAUUGAGUCCAGCUCUACCAUCCUCAGUGGUACACUUGGCUACAAUCAAAAAUGAGAACAUUCUGUGGAGGUUUGUAUUCCAUUUGGGACCUUGUUGAUGGUAUCGGCUACAGAGAAUCUCGUACAUGUUGGAGCAGAAUGAACUUGUCUUUUGUUUUGUUUUGUUUUCUGUUACUGUGAUAAAAAUAUCCCAACCAAAGCAACUUAAGGGACAAGGGAUUUUUAUGGCUGACUGUUCAAAGGUUUAGUCAGUCACCAAGGCAGGGAAGUUAAGGAAACAAGACUUUGAAAGCAGCUGAUCUCACUCCAACCAUAGUCAAGAAACAGAAAAGUGAGAGAGUUCACUGAUGGUCAGCUCUUCUUCCCUAUUUCAUACAAUCCAGAACCUCCUGCCCUGGGAAUGAUCCUCCCUACACAAAGAUGGGUAUUCUGUAAUCAAUUAAUGAAACUCCACACAGGCAUGGCUAGAGGCAUGUUCCCAGGUGAUUCUAGAAUUGCGAGUUAACUCUCCCAAUCACAAAGCUAAGCAGCAAAAAUAGGAAGGUCGGUUCUUUAUAAAUCUAUUAUACGUCUACUAUUAUGUCCAAGAGUGGCCUGACUAUACCAGACAACAAUCAGAGCUCUCUGAUGCAUUAAAAAUCUUAUUUUUCAUUAAAGUCUAUAAAAAUGAGGAUUUAACUUUGACAUAUUUUUAGUAAGGAAGUGGUAUGCUUGUAUUCUGACACUCCCCAUUUUAAACAUUGUAUGUGCUAGUUUUAUGCUAAUUCCAUCAUUCGACCAACCCGUAAGAAUCUAUAAGUCAGGGUAUAAGGAUGCCCUAGAGCCACACAGCAAUGUUACAUCUGUAACCAAGUAUGGCACACACGAUGAAUGACUCUAACACAUGGUUCACUUACAGAUCACCUAAUAACAAAUGAGCCUGCGGAGGGUGUCUAAGUGCCCCAACACAUUAGGACUAUUCAGAGCUACUUGGUGUAUUGACUCUACCUCCAGAUAAACAAGAUCAAACAACCUCUGUCCUUUCUCAGCCUUUGUAACUAAUCAAAGCCUGAAGACCUCAAAAGUACUUUCUAAUUGGUUUCAUUGUUUUGUUUAUUGUGCUUAUCACAGGGCAGUUAACAUUUACUCUGACAAUGGACCAACCUGACAUUUCGGUUGGUUUUAAAUAGCUGUUAAUGGUUGUCUAGGGUUCAUCAGGACUAGAGAGCUCAUGCCUACUUACUAGGUGACCUUCAAUUAGAAAAGGACUGGAUUUUACCUUGCAGGCUUUAGAAGAUGCAAAUUUUGAUAUGCAGUGGGUUUGUGCUUGAAGCCAUAGACUCACACCCACCCAACGAGUGCAGCGGUGCUAAUGGAGUAGGGCUGCCUGAAUUUUCCACUUUUAUAGUUUUCCUCAUAUCGCGAUUUCUCUCUGCAUCCUCUCACCUGCUUUGAUGCCUCACAAAAUUCAUCCUCAGUUCCAUAGGCUGAAAUAACACAUGACUGCAUUGCUGGCAUGCCAAUCACUGUGCUAUGCUGGGCUCCUUCUCCUUCUUGUACUAUGUGUUACCUAUUCAAGUCUUUUUCUGGUCAGCUAGUUUCCUGAAAUGAUGCUUUCCUUAUUUGCUUUUCUAGCUUGAAGGUUUACAAAUAGGUCCACCUAGUUUGGGACCUUUUUAAAGCAAGACUAAGGACAAGUUAUCGACUUCUUUUCUUUCGUAGAGUGUUUCUGGUAUUGUACUUAAGAACUCUUUGUCAACCCAGAGUUAAUAAUUCUUUACCCACGGUUAAAGUUGGAGGAAGCAUCUGCUUAAAAAGGAUCAGCAAAAGGAGUUUGGGGUCUUGGAUUUGAUAGGAUGUUGAGAAUUACUCAUGGUCUUGUUUAUGGUGAGAAUCACAAGAAUCUAUGAAUUAAAAGCCCAGAAUUGUACACAGCAGUACUCACCCAGAACAUCUUAGAAGUUUAAAACAAUUGUUUGUUUCUAAUCUCGAGAGUUUAAUUUUUCUACACAUCCACACUUUUCUGUUCCCAACAGGAUCAAACAGAGCCCUUAAAUAGUAUUCCUCUGUGCAAAUGUGCCUUUCUCUUUGACCUGUUGUUGUUGUUGUUGUUGUUGUUGUUGUUGCUGUUGCUGUUGUUGCUGUUGCUGUUGUUGCUGUUGCUGUUGCUGUUGCUGUUGCUGUUGUUACUUUACUUCUCUUCCCUUUUCCUUUUCCUCCUUUUUUCCUUUACUUCUCUUUUCCUUUUCCUCCUCCUCCUCCUCCUGCUCCUUCCCCUCCCUGCCUCCUCUUCUCAGGUGUCCCACAUAGGAGCUGUAUAUGUGCUCAUGACUUGUGAGUCACUGAGUGCUACAAUGACACUGAGCAGUUUUGGAAGGACUCCAUUUUGCCCUCAAUCUCAAGCAGAGGAAGACCUCCGUUAUCUCUUUCUUCGAAGGAGGGGGACUCAAAGAAGAGAAGGGAGAACAGAAGAAAAGCGGGUUCCUCAUGUCUCCCUGUGCUUCCUAUUCGUGCCUUAGAUGAAGACAGCAAACUAAUGCAGCCUACAUCUUGCCAAAGGCAGUGUCACCAGCUGCCAGAGUUUCCCUUAGGAUAGUUUCUAUGGAAAAUAAAAUUAAAGAGAAAUAAGAUAAUGCUCACUUAAGAUAUUACCACAUUAUUAGGAGCUUGGAAAACCAAAAAACAGGUAAAUUAAACCUCCUUUUACAGAAAGAUCGAUGUGUCUGCUACUUCGGUUAUCUUAAUAGCAUCUAAAGUAAUAAAUUUUGUCAUGUCAUUUACUUUAGC
ensembl:lincRNA Gm13219 predicted gene 13219